UUGCUCACAUCGGCAGCACAUAUACUAAAAUUGGAACGAUACAGAGAAUAAUAAUAGCAUGGCCCCUGCACAAGGAUGACACGCAUAUUCGUGAAACAUUACAUAUUUUU